GAUGAACGCUGGCGGCGUGCCUAAUACAUGCAAGUCGAGCGAACGGACGAGAAGCUUGCUUCUCUGAUGUUAGCGGCGGACGGGUGAGUAACACGUGGAUAACCUACCUAUAAGACUGGGAUAACUUCGGGAAACCGGAGCUAAUACCGGAUGAUAUUUUGAACCGCAUGGUUCAAAAGUGAAAGACGGUCUUGCUGUCACUUAUAGAUGGAUCCGCGCUGCAUUAGCUAGUUGGUAAGGUAACGGCUUACCAAGGCAACGAUGCAUAGCCGACCUGAGAGGGUGAUCGGCCACACUGGAACUGAGACACGGUCCAGACUCCUACGGGAGGCAGCAGUAGGGAAUCUUCCGCAAUGGGCGAAAGCCUGACGGAGCAACGCCGCGUGAGUGAUGAAGGUCUUCGGAUCGUAAAACUCUGUUAUUAGGGAAGAACAUAUGUGUAAGUAACUGUGCACAUCUUGACGGUACCUAAUCAGAAAGCCACGGCUAACUACGUGCCAGCAGCCGCGGUAAUACGUAGGUGGCAAGCGUUAUCCGGAAUUAUUGGGCGUAAAGCGCGCGUAGGCGGUUUUUUAAGUCUGAUGUGAAAGCCCACGGCUCAACCGUGGAGGGUCAUUGGAAACUGGAAAACUUGAGUGCAGAAGAGGAAAGUGGAAUUCCAUGUGUAGCGGUGAAAUGCGCAGAGAUAUGGAGGAACACCAGUGGCGAAGGCGACUUUCUGGUCUGUAACUGACGCUGAUGUGCGAAAGCGUGGGGAUCAAACAGGAUUAGAUACCCUGGUAGUCCACGCCGUAAACGAUGAGUGCUAAGUGUUAGGGGGUUUCCGCCCCUUAGUGCUGCAGCUAACGCAUUAAGCACUCCGCCUGGGGAGUACGACCGCAAGGUUGAAACUCAAAGGAAUUGACGGGGACCCGCACAAGCGGUGGAGCAUGUGGUUUAAUUCGAAGCAACGCGAAGAACCUUACCAAAUCUUGACAUCCUUUGACAACUCUAGAGAUAGAGCCUUCCCCUUCGGGGGACAAAGUGACAGGUGGUGCAUGGUUGUCGUCAGCUCGUGUCGUGAGAUGUUGGGUUAAGUCCCGCAACGAGCGCAACCCUUAAGCUUAGUUGCCAUCAUUAAGUUGGGCACUCUAAGUUGACUGCCGGUGACAAACCGGAGGAAGGUGGAGAUGACGUCAAAUCAUCAUGCCCCUUAUGAUUUGGGCUACACACGUGCUACAAUGGACAAUACAAAGGGCAGCGAAACCGCGAGGUCAAGCAAAUCCCAUAAAGUUGUUCUCAGUUCGGAUUGUAGUCUGCAACUCGACUACAUGAAGCUGGAAUCGCUAGUAAUCGUAGAUCAGCAUGCUACGGUGAAUACGUUCCCGGGUCU
rnacentral:rRNA from 1 species